GACGAACGCUGGCGGCGCGCCUAACACAUGCAAGUCGAACGAGCGAGGGAGAGCUUGCUUUCUUGAGCGAGUGGCGAACGGGUGAGUAACGCGUGAGGAACCUGCCUCAAAGAGGGGGACAACAGUUGGAAACGACUGCUAAUACCGCAUAAGCCCACGACCCGGCAUCGGGUUGAGGGAAAAGGAGCAAUCCGCUUUGAGAUGGCCUCGCGUCCGAUUAGCUAGUUGGUGAGGUAACGGCCCACCAAGGCGACGAUCGGUAGCCGGACUGAGAGGUUGAACGGCCACAUUGGGACUGAGACACGGCCCAGACUCCUACGGGAGGCAGCAGUGGGGAAUAUUGCACAAUGGGGGAAACCCUGAUGCAGCGACGCCGCGUGGAGGAAGAAGGUCUUCGGAUUGUAAACUCCUGUUGUUGAGGAAGAUAAUGACGGUACUCAACAAGGAAGUGACGGCUAACUACGU
rnacentral:rRNA from 1 species